CGGUUCUACACGGAGGCCUAGGGAGGCCCGUGCCUCUGUAGACAUGUCCCUGGCCACCCCUGUGGCCCCCCCGUGCUGACCAAAUAAAACAAUUAUGAAUUUAUUAAGAUUUUACACACGAGCGCCAAAAGCGGAACUAAUGCGACGCAUCGUUCUACACGGGUAAAUUAGAGCGGCGCACCGAAACACUGUGGCGCUGCUCGGUGAAUGAGAGCGCAGCAACAACUAACUACUCUUGGAUAGAGGAGCUACGAUUCAUUUCUCCUGUUGCAAGAGUCGAAGUUAAGCGAAACAAUUUCAUCUCGUGAGUGACUUGUUGUUCUUGCACAUAACCGUGUUACUUUUGUUUUUCACACUGAUAAUGAAAUCAAGUUUGUAAAUGGCUGGUUUCGAGAUGUUUAAAAGCUUGGUAACACUUUUACAUUUGUUACUGUAUUUGUUAAUCUUUGUUAACGUUAGUUAAUAAAAAUAUACAGCUGUUCAUGUUAGUUCACAGCGCAUUAACUAAUGUUAACAAGAAUUUAAUAAAGUAUUAGUAAAUGUUGAAAUUAACAUUAACAAAGAUUAAUAAAUGCUGUAUAUGUGCAGUUCAUUAUUAGUUCAUGUUAACUAAUGUAGUUAACUAACGAACCUUAUUAUAAAGUGUUACCAAAACUCUUGUACAUAAUAAAUGUUUGUAUGAUUUUAAAGUAAAAUAAAAUUUAUAAUCUUUAAAUAUCAUUUGUUGUCAUUUUUUAAUGUGCCCCUCUGGUUAAACACUGGCCCCUUCUUGGCCCCCCUAGUAAAAUUUGUCUAGAACCGCCACUGAUUGUGUGAAAUUGCUAAUAAAAAUAGGUAAUAAAAAACGAUUAUGAUGUGGAGGUGGUUUAGUCUUGACUUAUGGUCGUGAGUGACAGCGUUGGGGGAUGGGAAAUCUGUUUGUUCUGUUACAGUGAUUGUCUAAGUCAACAGUAAUUAAGGAAUAAAUGUUUAGGUUGUAGUUUGUAUCCCCCUACUGGCUGCUCUGAGAAUAACACUGUCAUUAUCAUGUGACUGAUCCAAUGACUAACAAGGAAAUUAGUGCCUUCCAUGCUGCUGUUCUAUUGCAGAGGCAGAAAGCAGUGAAUCAGUAUGUAUCUGCAUUCAUCCUUGGCCUUUGGUAGCUUCGUCGUUUUACUCUGCCUUUAUUAAAGUUUGGAAAAGGACAUUCCCUGUCCGUGAAGUUAAUGAGGAGAGUUUAACUUGCUGUUGAAGUAUAUACAGGACAUAUAUGGAGAACAGUACACUGUUGAUUGUCGAUUACAAAGUAAACACAGCGAUGGAGAGAAAAAGGCCAAAGCUGUCAGGUGCCCAAUUUAGGAAAAAAAGAAAAUAAGAUGAGGAGAAAUGGGCAAAAGAUAAAGGGGCACUUCUAAAAUAUUUUGGAGCAUCCUCUGCCACUUUUCAGGAUGAGGCACCUACCUCCCCCACUACACAGGACACAGGAAUGGUCUCUGCUUUUCAGGAUGAGCUACCAUCUAUAUUUUAUUUGUAUAUUAUUCUUAAUAAUGUAAAAUAUUUUUUUCUUAAAUAAUAUUUGUUUGUACACAGUAUAUUUAUUUAAGUUAUGAGCAGUUUAUUAUUAUUAUUUUUUUUUUUUUGCAAAAAUUGGUCUGUUACGGGAUGACGUACUAUUACUACAA